CCUGAACACGCCAAACCCAUCGUAAGGUGGGGACGGAAAGCCACGGGUCCUGAUAACGCAGGAUCGCCGGGUUGCCUGGU
rnacentral:ncRNA from 1 species